CAUCAUCAUCGUUUAACGUCCGCUUUCCAUGUUAGCAUGGAUGAGGCUGUUUCACAAGAACCAGCCAGGCAAAAGCCUGCACCAGAUUUCUGUGACUGUUUCAGCCUGAUUUUUACAGCUGGAUGCCCUUCUUAACACCAACCACUCAGCAGAGUGGACUUAGUGCCUUUCAUGCGGCACAA